ACGCACGCUGGCGGCGUGCCUAAUCCAUGCAAGUUGAGCGCUGAAGGUUGGUACUUGUACCAACUGGAUGAGCAGCGAACGGGUGAGUAACGCGUGGGGAAUCUGCCUUUGAGCGGGGGACAACAUUUGGAAACGAAUGCUAAUACCGCAUAAAAACUUUAAACACAAGUUUUAAGUUUGAAAGAUGCAAUUGCAUCACUCAAAGAUGAUCCCGCGUUGUAUUAGCUAGUUGGUGAGGUAAAGGCUCACCAAGGCGAUGAUACAUAGCCGACCUGAGAGGGUGAUCGGCCACAUUGGGACUGAGACACGGCCCAAACUCCUACGGGAGGCAGCAGUAGGGAAUCUUCGGCAAUGGACGAAAGUCUGACCGAGCAACGCCGCGUGAGUGAAGAAGGGUGUCGGAUCGUAAAACUCUGUUGGUAGAGAAGAACGUUGGUGAGAGUGGAAAGCUCAUCAAGUGACGGUAACUACCCAGAAAGGGACGGCUAACUACGUG
rnacentral:rRNA from 1 species